AACGAACGCUGGCGGCAUGCCUAACACAUGCAAGUCGAACGAGACCUUCGGGUCUAGUGGCGCACGGGUGCGUAACGCGUGGGAAUCUGCCCUUGGGUUCGGAAUAACAGUUAGAAAUGACUGCUAAUACCGGAUGAUGUCGUAAGACCAAAGAUUUAUCGCCCAAGGAUGAGCCCGCGUAGGAUUAGCUAGUUGGUGGGGUAAAGGCCUACCAAGGCGACGUUCCUUAGCUGGUCUGAGAGGAUGAUCAGCCACACGGGGACUGAGACACGGCCCAGACUCCUACGGGAGGCAGCAGUGGGGAAUAUUGGACAAUGGGCGAAGGCUUGAUCCAGCAAUGCCGCGUGAGUGAUGAAGGCCCUAGGGUUGUAAAGCUCUUUUACCCGGGAUGAUAAUGACGGUACCGUAAGAAUAAGCACCGGCUAACUACGUGCCAGCAGCCGCCGUAACAC
rnacentral:rRNA from 1 species